rnacentral:rRNA from 1 species
CGGAGGGAGCUAGCGUUAUUCGGAAUUACUGGGCGUAAAGCGCACGUAGGCGGCUUUGCAAGUAAGAGGUGAAAGCCCAGAGCUCAACUCUGGAAUUGUCCUUUUAGUACUGCAUCGCUUGUAAUCAUGGAGGAGGUCAGUGGAAUUCCGAGUGUAGAGGUGAAAUUACGUAGAUAUUCGGAAGAACACCAGUGGCGAAGGCGGCUGACUGGACAUGUAUUGACGCUGAGGUGCGAAAGCGUGGGGAGCAAACAGGAUU